rnacentral:lncRNA from 1 species
GGGGAGGGCAUUAGGACCCAGGAGGUUAGGGGCCAGCUGCUCUCUCCCAGCAGAGAGUAGUUCCGGGGCAGCAGCCAGGAAUGGCAUAUAAGGCGUGGGAGUGAGCCAUUCACCUGUUGACGUCUUCCGGUGUGCGGCCACUCAAACUGAACCGAGCCCGACGGCGGUACGAAGGAGCACGGGAAAAAAACCCAGGUUGUCAGUCAGGCCAGACGUGCAGUUUGCGUGGGCCCCUCCCUUCAUCUUAAGUGCUCCACGGCAGCCACGCAGGUGCAGCCUCGACGCGGAUGCCAGAACUUGUAAUCACGUGAGAACCUGCAGACUCUGAAAAGACAGAGUGGAAGAAGGGGAUUGUAAACGUGAGUCACACCUGCUGCUAAUAAUUUUUAUUGUUGGUUGCCUCACUGUUCAUAACUCUCUGCUCUGUUGGUUUUAGGAUUAACCCAUGUGCUUUUAGACUUGUCACUGUUUUUAUCUUCACUGCUCGCUUUUAUUUUUUAUCUUUUUAAUGUGAUGUCUUGGGGUGUUUUAACCCCUUUUAAUGCCUGGCACUUUUAAAACUUAGUUGACCUUUUAUCUAGUAGUUUUUAAACAGUAACCUGGUGCUGUGCAGGAUUGUGGGUUUUAUUUGCUGUGCUGUCCCCUCGUUUUUAUUGAGCAUGUUGUGUUUUAUUUGAGGGACAACUGUGUUGUUUUAAGUUACCCUGUCACAGCCCAGUUUCUUAAAAAAACUACUGUUGGUCCAGUGCCUUGUGUUUUAAUAAAUAUAUUUUAAAUACCAGCUACUGCCUCCUCCGGUUUAUUCUGGAGACCUGCUUUUAGUUGUGCAGCUAGCAUCCUUUCUGGCUACAAGGGAUUGCUGGCUGCUACACAUGGAUGGC